rnacentral:rRNA from 1 species
UCAGGACGAACGCUGGCGGCGUGCUUCAUACAUGCAAGUCGAACGAGAAGCUGACUUCGGUCAGUGGAAAGUGGCGGACGGGUGAGUAAUAUGUAGAGAAUCUGCCCUUGAGUGGGGGACAACAGAGGGAAACUUCUGCUAAUACCCCAUAUGAGCUAACUUGAAAUAGUUAUCUUGAAAACUCCGGUGCUCAAGGAUGAGUCUGCAUCUGAUUAGCUAGUUGGCGGUGUAAUGGACCACCAAGGCGACGAUCAGUAGCUGGUUUGAGAGGAUGAUCAGCCACAAUGGGACUGAGACACGGCCCAUACUCCUACGGGAGGCAGCAGUAGGGAAUUUUGCGCAAUGGGCGAAAGCCCUGACGCAGCAACGCCGCGUGAACGAUUAAGCCCUUCGGGGUGUAAAGUUCUGUCAGUAGGGACGAAUUUUGACGGUACCUACAGAGGAAGCACCGGCUAACUCCGUGCCAGCCGCUGC